UACGUAGGGGGGCAAGCGUUGUCCGGAAUCAUUGGGCGUAAAGAGCGUGUAGGCGGCCCGAUAAGUCCGCUGUGAAAGUCCAGGGCUCAACCCUGGGAUGCCGGUGGAUACUGUCGGGCUCGAGUCCGGAAGAGGAGUGUGGAAUUCCGUGGUGUAGCGGUGAAAUGCGCAGAGUAUCAGGAGGAACACCAGCGGCGAAGGCGGCAUCCUGGCCCUUACCUGACGCUGAGGCGCGAGAGCGUGGGGAGCAAACCGG
rnacentral:rRNA from 1 species